AGGGAGGAAGCAAGCCACCCCACCCCAGCACCCCAAAGCCUCAGAGCAAGCACAGGCUCCUCGCACCCGCUCACCGACCCCGCGGCACGAACCCCGCGGCCGUUUUUCACCCGGAGAACGAUCCGGAUUAGGAACCGAAUUGUCCCCAGUACAGAAAAAGUACUCAAAACACCCUGGAUGCCACGACGCCCACCAAGAGGCAGGUCUGGCAGUUUCCGAGCCGCGGGACAUUCCCCGCGCAGGAUCCGCGCAUCCCCCGCGCCAAGGGGUGAUGUGGAGCCGGUCCUGCCCCGCGGGGACCGCGGCAGAGGACGCCUGUCAGCAGGGCGAGGUGGUCUCUGAACACCCACGCCCACCCAAACCCCGAGGCGAGGGCUCCCGCCAAAGCCUCCAUCUCCAUCUUAAUAAACGAGGGCGAGAGGGCUGCAGGGAGGCGACCAGCUUGGCGUGGCAAGUCUUCCUGGCACGGGAUCCUUAAGAAGCCUGCAGCCCGUUUGCCUUGAUGAUGAUUUAUGAAAGCCUUCCACCUUUCAUAACAACGAGCCCGAAACACAAAGUUACUUCGGGACAAGCGAGGAAGCGCGUUAAAAGUUUCUUUGGCAAACUAACCCUUACCCACCCAGCUACGCAGCGUCUCGAAGGAGCCUGCAAACCGCCUGCCCUUUCUGUAACCCGCACCCAGCCGCUUCCCUUUCUCCCAGAGCCGAAAUAAAACCCGGGCUCCUUCCAUCCUGCGGUCGGCUGCCGUUUUUAACGUGGGGAUAAACAGGUAUCGAGACCCCCUCUAGCGGCAGAGACGCCGGUAGCAGUGAUCCCACCGGCAUCCCACAUCCCGCGUGGGAUCCCAGCCUUGGGGAGAGCCCAGCUGCUUUUCCAGGUUUUAUUUCCUAGCGCUGGCUUGCUCCAUAUGAGAAGGAACAGGCUUUAAACCAAGUUUUAGCGCUAACUCUUAUUAAUCUGCAAAUUGCCAAGUGACAUACUUAAAAACAGGACAGGCGUGUCGCUGCGUUCUGGACUUCGGCCGAAUGUUUCCUGUCCUGCGUUUUAGAGAUUGAGUGCUAGAAGCAAAAGGAGAAAGGUAGAGAGUUUUUUUAUCUUCCGUAUUAGGUCGUAAAACCAGGCUGAUACCUGGGAUGUAGGAAAAUACAGUAGUAAUAUAGUAAACGUCAUGAUUGUAACAAUAAAUUUUCCGCUUGCAGAGUAAACGAUGUGUUGAUUUUUGCUUGUCUUCAACGUCUUUGAGUCUUUUCUGCUUCUCCUGCUCUAUCUUUUUUUCUAGUAUUUGUUUCCUUGUAGUCUGUUAUAUGUCUUCAUUUUCCGCUACAUAAUCUAGCGCUGUCUUGCCCUCAUGUCUUUCCAGCAACUGUUGGAAAAAUGUGUCAUAUGAGCUGUAAAAUACAGCACCAAAUCUGCAGGGGAAGAGGUAAGUAAUCUGAAAGAGAGAAAAAAAAACCCUCAGUCUUCUGAGAUUUUGCAGAGAGAAAAGAAUUUUCAUAAUUAAUUUUAAAUUAUCUUUCCAGCUAUAGAUCUGGAUAAAGCAAGAGAGGAAUUUCUGCAGAAAAUGACUGCUCCACAUGUUCUAGUAAUUGCAGUUUAAGUAUUUUCUGUCCAAAGUUAGUGAGUCUGGAUGUGUCUGUUUAUGAAUGAGUGCUUUUGAAGGACAGGCAACUGUUGAUAAUUUUGUGAUAACAGCAGGUAUGAUUGUGUAAUCUCAAUUUCCACAACACUGAAAGGUAAAUUAAUAAAGUUAAGUGAUAUGUGCUGUAGAUUAAAAGAAACUUUUCCACAAUUCAUGCAGAAUGGCCUUUUUCUUGUCACUAACCAAGAACAUAAAAGCCAUUAAAUUAGAGGGAAAAUUACUAGAUCAAAGGGGAAGCAAAGUUAAAAGAAACAAGAGUAGCCUUGUUAUGUGUUAAAAGUGCAAAGUGAAGACAAUGCAAUCAAAAUUCAAUUCUGCUUUAUAGAAUCUGUGAACAGAUUCUGUCCUGGUCUAAUUUGUGCAAAGCCUGGAUUUAUCCAUUCCUAAUAGUGAAAAUACUUGGGUAACAAAAAUAAACUUUAAAUUGUGAGCUAGAUGCUCUCUUUGAUAUAAAGUGUUCCUGGGCUUUCCACAUGUUUAUGUUUCAUAUAAACCUGAUAAAAAUCUUCCACUUUACAUUCCCUAUGACUCUAAAUGUAGUGCCUGCCUGCAUAAUAUCUGCACUUUUAUGAGAAAUUCCAGCUUCCAAAAGUUUUACAGAUCUCAGAAAAAUUGCAUUUCCCUAUGUUUGACCUUAGAAAUGCCCCAUGGAUGGACACCACCAUUGAUAUUCACAUUUCCUUGCAUAGGAAAAAUACUGAACUGUAUGCUUUAUAUUACGUAUGAGAAAACUGUGACAGUUUUCAUUCUUGGGGAAAAUUCUUAGAAGAUUUCCUUGCUUUUAGAUUGGUUCAAUGCAGUUUUUACAGAGUUUCGAUGUUUGGGUGUUGGGAUGAGGUUUCACAAUAUUUGAAAUAACUUUAAACUCACUGCACAAGAGGCCAUUGUAUUCCAAAAGUUAAUAGAUGUGGGAAGCCCAAAGUAAUAGUCGGAAGACUAAAGGAACCCAAAAGCAUUUUUGCUUGUUUCUGCAGAGGUCCAUGAAAAUAUCUAAAAAAAUUUCUCCAAACUUUCAGUGUAUUAGGUUAUUUCAUACUGUCGUACUUUGAUGUGGUAGGAUUCCUAUUCAAGCUAGAGCUUACACACAUUUUGCUCUCAAAUAACCGAAAAAAUAUUAGAUGCCACCUAGUUACAGCAAAUAAUAAAUCUUACAGCAGAAAGUCUAUUGAACCUGGAAGAAAACUAAGUGACAUUACCUAGGAACUCUGUAGUCCUGAGUCUGUUGACGUGCAUGUACCUGCAUUGUCACAUUAACUCAGGUGGCACGACGUAUUUUGGUGAAAUUACAGGUUUGAGCAGGAUGAGGACCUGCAUUUGGAGAGCCAGUGGUGCAAACCAUUGUGACUUUGAUUGCUCCAGACAUGUCUAUGCUGCCUUCGCGUGAGGCAGUGACCUCCAGACUGGCCUUGGCUUCCCAGCCAACUGAAUCAGUGGUCAAAUGUGGAGACUUUGGAUGUUUCUUUGGAGCACCAUACCAUUCAGCUAUGUAAUGCGAUUUCCUAAAGGCCUACUAGUAUUAAGCAUCCUAGAUUCCAGAUGAAGGCAUUUCUUUUCUCUUCUCUGUGGUUCUACCUAAGAGGUAAAAUCAACAUAUGACUCCACAUUUGUCCCUUAAUGUUUGGACUGAAACUUUGCCUCUGCUGAAGGCAGUAAUGGUUUUUCUCACUGACUUCAAAGAGGCUGGUAUUUCACCCUUCAUUUCCCUGCUGGAUACUGCUUUUCCCUUUAAGCUACCGUGUGUCAUAAAAAGCGAUGUGCUGUGGAAAGUGUAAAACACAGCAGUAGAAGUUGUGAUGCCACAACUCAAUGUCAAUGUAUGAUUUUAUGUAGUAGUAA